ACCAGACCACCAUAUCUCAUAACCUCACUUUUCACAAACCCUACAUACCAUUUCCUAAAUCUGCUUCUUCGUUUUUCAGAGAUUCAUCGUCCUUAGAUGAGAUUCAUAAGGACGACAAUGUUUUGAUGCUUUCUUCAUCUUCAUGGUUUGCUUGUGGUCUUUCGUAUCCGUCAAAACCCUAAUCGACCGG